AGUGAACGCUGGCGGUAGGCCUAACACAUGCAAGUCGAACGGCAGCACAGUAAGAGCUUGCUCUUACGGGUGGCGAGUGGCGGACGGGUGAGGAAUACAUCGGAAUCUACUUUUUCGUGGGGGAUAACGUAGGGAAACUUACGCUAAUACCGCAUACGACCUACGGGUGAAAGCAGGGGAUCUUCGGACCUUGCGCGAUUGAAUGAGCCGAUGUCGGAUUAGCUAGUUGGCGGGGUAAAGGCCCACCAAGGCGACGAUCCGUAGCUGGUCUGAGAGGAUGAUCAGCCCAACUGGAACUGAGACACGGUCCAGCCCCCCAGGGGAGGCAGGAGGGGGGAAUUUUGGACAAUGGGCGAAAGCCUGACCCAGCCAUCCCGGGGGGGUGAAGAAGGCCUUCGGGUUGUAAAGCCCUUUUGUGGGGAAAAAAAAGCAGCAGGUUAAAACCCCGCUGUUCUGACGGUACCAAAAGAAUAAGCACCGGCUAACUUCGU
rnacentral:rRNA from 1 species